ACAUGUGUCUCUCAUCUCAGAUCUGCCAAAUGAUGUUGUAAUUAAUUGCAUGCAACCCUCUUUCACCCACUGAACUGGGAGUUCUUUAAAGUUAUAUGUGCAUAUCUGUGUCCUAGGGCCUAGCAUUAAGUCUGGCAUGAUGUUGAUGACAAGUAAGUGUUCGAUAUGUGAAAGUACAAAUGAAUGAAAGAACCAGUGAUGCCAUCUGGACCAGAGCUGGUCUGCCUCAGACCCGGGUCCCACAUUGAGCACAUCAAACUUUGCUGUUCUGAAGGAUAAACUGGGCUAGUACCGAUUAGCUCACUAAACAAAUAUUUCUCCACUGAAGCACAUGCUUGCUCUCCCAUUUCACUCUGUAUUUACUUAUUCAUAGCCCAUAAAAAGCAGUGAGCUGGAAACAUUCAUGUUUCCUCAUUACAUUCCCCAAAGUGGGAGGUUGUUUUCCUCUCAUGUAGCAUUUUUCCAGUGUGUGAAAAUCUCUGGCCUCAAAGCACACUUGUGGGAACCCAUAAUUGAGUCUGAAAUCAUCCAACAGCAGCAGAAAGUUCUUACAGCCCUGAGAGCCUCAGGGAACCAGGACACUUACAGAACCUUGCUGAAAAACACGGGAUCUACAGCAAAAGCCAGAAAAUCCCCAGAGACCAUCUGGACCAACCCCUCCUCUCACAGGUUAAAGCCCUGACCCCUGCCAUUCACCUUGGGAGAAGACAGCAAUGGCUUUUCUGCCCCACUGGUGUUCUCUAGGGCUUUCUGACCCAGGUCCUCAUCAGCGCAGUCCCUAGCAUUGAGCCCAGCAACCCUAGGAUCAAGGCUUUGAAAGACAAGGUUUUGGGACCUCCCAAAGGUAAUUAGGAUGUUUGGCAUUGUUUGCAUAUUAGAAAACCUCACAUACAUCGCUUGCUCCAGCACAGAUUACACUUUUUUUAAAAGACCCCAAAAGAACAUCAGGAUAUUAAAAUAUAAAAUACAACACAAUUGUAUGUGAAUUUCUGUGCUCAAGGGAACAUAGUGAAAAUUAAUGUUGUGAUCUUUCUGAGUACAUAUCUUUUGCCAACAAUGUUUCUUCAACCACUGUUAACUAAAUCCAAGAACCUAUUAUAUCGCAAACUGUAGAUUAAAGAUAAUUUUUUUCAAAGCCGAUUUGUUGUACUCUUGCAAGGAAAUCUCUUGCUCAACAGAAUUUUUUAUCUAUGGAAAAAUAUUUUACUUUAAGCAAAGCUCCCUCAAAGACCCUAACAUAACUACUCUCUGAUAGCCAUUUUAGAGACACAUUGAGCAAAAGAUUCACAGUAGCAGGAAGUUCAUGAGAUUACUCCUUUAGCACAAUGAAUUGUUCAAAACAAUUCUAAUAUAUGAAGAGUUAAACUUCCUCAGAUAUUACAAUUAUAAAGAUUAUAGAAAAGUAUUUUAUAUAUAUAUAAUUAUUUAAGAUUCUUUCUGGGGGUGGAGAGAGAAGUGGUAUCAAUUUGCACUGUGUAUAGAUAAGUUCAACAUUUGAGCAUCUUCUAAUCUUAUUUAAUAAACUAGUCAAUAUUGACAUAGUCUCAUGACAGGAUUAGGCAGCACUGCUUAAAAUAAAAAGGUAUAAAUCUUGAAAACUAGAGAAACCCUUCAGAAUCAUUCUAUUUAACUCCAAGAGCAGCGCCAAGUACCACAUGGAAGGAGAGCCCUCUUGCAUAUUAUUGAUAACUACUCAAGUAGUGGAAGAACACCUGAGCUAUGUACAGCACUGAGUGGAAGCACAAAGAAUCACCCCUGUUAUCCAGGAACUCACUCCACAAGAGGGGUUGAAACCUUAGAUAGGCAGAGGCCAAUCCAGGUGAUGUGGGACUGUAGCAUAUUCUAUUUUGAGGAUUCUUUUAAAAAAUAAGAGUAAAAAACAAAUAUAAGAAUGAAUAUUUAUUGGAUAAAGAAAAACAA
ensembl:lincRNA